UACGAAGGGGGCAAGCGUUGCUCGGAAUCAUUGGGCGUAAAGGGUGCGUAGGCGGGCUUUUAAGUCAGGGGUGAAAUCCUGGAGCUCAACUCCAGAACUGCCUUUGAUACUGAAGAUCUUGAGUUCGGGAGAGGUGAGUGGAACUGCGGGUGUAGAGGUGAAAUUCGUAGAUAUUCGCAAGAACACCAGUGGCGAAGGCGGCUCACUGGCCCGAUACUGACGCUGAGGCACGAAAGCGUGGGGAGCAAACAGG
rnacentral:rRNA from 1 species